rnacentral:rRNA from 1 species
AGUGGAUGCGAGCAUCUUGUUGUGGUCAAGUUGUUAAGAGCACAUGGUGGAUACCUAGGCAUCAGGAGCCGAUGAAGGACGUGGGAGACCGCGAUAGUCCUCGGGGAGUUGUCAACCGAACUGUGAUCCGAGGGUGUCCGAAUGGGGAAACCCAGCACCCGUCAUGGGGUGUUACCCGUACCUGAAUUCAUAGGGUGCGUGGAGGGAACGUGGGGAAGUGAAACAUCUCAGUACCCACAGGAAGAGAAAACAAUAGUGAUUCCGUGAGUAGUGGCGAGCGAAAGCGGAAGAGGCUAAACCGUGUCCGUGUCAAGCCGGCAGGUGUUGCGGGUGCGGGGUUGUGAGGCGUGUCGUUCAUCUUCUGCCGAGGGUGGGACAAUUGAUGACUGUGUUAGCGGAACGAUUCUGGGAUGGUCGGCCGUAGUGGGUGAGAGCCCCGUACGCGAAAAUGCAGUUGUGGUUGUGGGCAUUGUUCUCGAGUAGCAGCGAGCUCGUGGAAUUUGCUGUGAAUCUGGCGGGACCACCCGUCAAGCCUAAAUACUACCUGAUGACCGAUAGCGGACUAGUACCGUGAGGGAAAGGUGAAAAGUACCCCGGGAGGGGAGUGAAAUAGUACUUGAAACCGUGUGCUUACAAGCCGUCAGAGCCUGAAGUGGUCUUGUACUGCAGGGUGAUGGCGUGCCUUUUGAAGAAUGAGCCUGCGAGUUAUGCUUCGUGGCGAGGUUAACCCGUUGUGGGGUAGCCGUAGCGAAAGCGAGUCCGAAUAGGGCGGUGGAGUCGCGGGGUGUAGACCCGAAGCGGAGUGAUCUACCCAUGGCCAGGGUGAAGCGUCGGUAAGACGUCGUGGAGGCCCGAACCCACCAGGGUUGAAAACCUGGGGGAUGAGCUGUGGGUAGGGGUGAAAGGCCAAUCAAACUUCGUGAUAGCUGGUUCUCCCCGAAAUGCAUUUAGGUGCAGCGUCGUGUGUUUCUCGCCGGAGGUAGAGCACUGGAUGGCCUAGGGGGCCUACAAGCUUACUGAAGUUAGCCAAACUCCGAAUGCCGGUGAGUGAGAGCGCGGCAGUGAGACUGCGGGGGAUAAGCUUCGUGGUCGAGAGGGAAACAGCCCAGAUCACCGGCUAAGGCCCCUAAGUGUGCGCUAAGUGGGAAAGGAUGUGGGAUCGCAGAGACAACCAGGAGGUUGGCUUAGAAGCAGCCACCCUUGAAAGAGUGCGUAAUAGCUCACUGGUCAAGUGGUCCUGCGCCGACAAUGUAGCGGGGCUCAAGCGCACCGCCGAAGCCGUGGCAAUGACACUUGAGUGUGUUGUUGGGUAGGGGAGCGUCCUGCAUCUGGUGAAGCCCGGGAGUGAUUUACGGGUGGAGGGUGUGGGAGUGAGAAUGCAGGCAUGAGUAGCGAAUGAAGAGUGAGAAUCUCUUCCGCCGGAUGACCAAGGGUUCCUGGGCCAGGUUGUUCCGCCCAGGGUGAGCCGGGACCUAAGGCGAGGCCGUCAGGCGUAGUCGAUGGACAACGGGUUGAUAUUCCCGUGCUCGUGAUAGUGCGUCCAUGCUGAGGCCGGUGAUGCUAACCAUCCGAACCUACCUCGGUUCCUUCGGGAGCUGUGUUUGUGGGGGAGCGUGGGAUCCGAUCCGGUAGUAGGCAAGUGAUGGGGUGACGCAGGAGGGUAGCUCCGCCACGCGGUGGUUGUCGUGGUGUAAGCCUGUAGCCUGGUCUUCUAGGUAAAUCCGGAGGAUCGUGAAGGGUGAGAGGUGACGCGUAGCCGAUUGAGGCGAAGUGAGUGAUCCCAUGCUGUCGAGAAAAGCCUCUAGCGAGUGCUGUUGCGGCCCGUACCCCAAACCGACACAGGUGGUCAGGUAGAGAAUACCGAGGCGAUCGAGCGAACUGUGGUUAAGGAAUUCGGCAAAAUGCCCCCGUAACUUCGGGAGAAGGGGGGCCAUCUGUCGUGAAGCCAUGUGCUGGUGGAGCGGUGGGUGGUCGCAGAGACCAGGCCCAAGCGACUGUUUACUAAAAACACAGGUCCGUGCGAAGUCGCAAGACGAUGUAUACGGACUGACGCCUGCCCGGUGCUGGAACGUUAAGAGGACCUGUUAGUCCCUUCGGGGGCGAAGCGGAGAAUUUAAGCGCCAGUAAACGGCGGUGGUAACUAUAACCAUCCUAAGGUAGCGAAAUUCCUUGUCGGGUAAGUUCCGACCUGCACGAAUGGCGUAACGACUUGGGCGCUGUCUCGACCACAGACUCGGCGAAAUUGCAUUACGAGUAAAGAUGCUCGUUACGCGCGGCAGGACGGAAAGACCCCGGGACCUUUACUAUAGCUUGGUAUUGGUGCUCGGUUCGGCUUGUGUAGGAUAGGUGGGAGACUGUGAAGCGUUCACGCUAGUGGGUGUGGAGUCGUUGUUGAAAUACCACUCUGGUCGAAUUGGGUGUCUUAACCUCGGGCCAUGAUCUGGUUCAGGGACAGUGCCUGGUGGGUAGUUUAACUGGGGCGGUUGCCUCCUAAAGAGUAACGGAGGCGCCCAAAGGUUCCCUCAGCCUGGUUGGCAAUCAGGUGUUGAGUGUAAGUGCACAAGGGAGCUUGACUGUGAGACUGACGGGUCGAGCAGGGACGAAAGUCGGGACUAGUGAUCCGGCACCUCCUGGUGGAAGGGGUGUCGCUCAACGGAUAAAAGGUACCCCGGGGAUAACAGGCUGAUCUUGCCCAAGAGUCCAUAUCGACGGCAUGGUUUGGCACCUCGAUGUCGGCUCGUCGCAUCCUGGGGCUGGAGUAGGUCCCAAGGGUUGGGCUGUUCGCCCAUUAAAGCGGUACGCGAGCUGGGUUUAGAACGUCGUGAGACAGUUCGGUCCCUAUCCGCCGCGCGCGUUGGAGACUUGAGGAAGGCUGUCCCUAGUACGAGAGGACCGGGACGGACGAACCUCUGGUGUGCCAGUUGUCCCGCCAGGGGCACGGCUGGUUGGCUAUGUUCGGGAGGGAUAACCGCUGAAGGCAUCUAAGCGGGAAGCCUGUUCCAAGAUGAGGUCUCCCACCACCUUGAGUGGGUAAGGCUCCCAGUAGAUGACUGGGUUGAUAGGCCGGAGAUGGAAGCCUUGUGAGGGGUGGAGUUGACCGGUACUAAUAGGCCGAGGGCUUGCCACAACAU